CACAUUCAUCAUAGAUUAUACUGACUUCACACACAGUGGAGAAUACAUCUGCACAGCCUGGAAUAGUGUCACAAAGAGAAACGCCACACAAAAACAUGCUUUACUAGUUAAAGGAGGAGGAGGAGGAGGAGGAGGGCUGUCAUCAGGGGCGAUAGCUGGGAUUGUCAUUGGGGUUUUAGUGGCAGUUGCAGGCAUUUGUGGUCUGACUGUCUAUUUAAUAAAAACUAAGAAAAUCUCAAAAAUAAACCUUCGACAAAAUGGACCGGCAAGAGGAGCAGCACAAAGCAGACAGGAGCCUGACUUGAACUAUGCAGACAUUAGCCAUUUCCAGAAGGCUAGUGGAGAGAGAGUGAAUCUGGGGAAUAAGAGUGAAUUUAGUACAGAGUAUGCAGAUGUAAAACAUGGAGGGAAGUCAAGGGCUCCUCCACCUCCCUAUGGAAGUCAGGUGCGGAAGUGAAGACACUGAAACACUGAAACCUACUGCACUGAGUCUUCCUGCAUAUUGCACAUUUUACAUGUGUUGUGUUAUUUCUUUAAUUUAGUUUGAUUUCACUGGAUGUUGUUGUGUAAGUGAAAUUAACUUUUAUUAUGGUUUUGAAUUCAAGAUGGCUUGAUAGGCUGUGCAAUUUUUCUGUUUUCACGAUUAAGAUGGAGAGACAGGGGAGGUUUGUAACACUGCUCAGUUUAUUUUGACUUUUUAUCAAAUUUUUCAACAUUUAUCUGAUACAAAUCGAUGUUGUUUUGAAAUCUACAACUUCUCUUGAAAUCUCUCUAUUGUGUAAAAUAAUGUCAAGUACAAAAAGCCCUGUUUUUACAACAUAAUCACCUACCGGUGUGUGUUUUAACAGUAGAUUAACAAUAGAGAACAUUGAUGUUUUACAUUUUGUAUAUGCAUUUGUUUGAUAUUACAAUG